UACGAGAGGCGCAAACGUUAUUCGGAAUUACUGGGCUUAAAGAGUUCGUAGGCGGCGCAGAAAGUAGGGUGUGAAAGCCCUCGGCUCAACCGAGGAAUUGCGCUCUAAACUACUGUGCUUGAGGAAGCUAGAGAUGAGCAGAACAGAUGGUGGAGCGGUGAAAUGCGUUGAUAUCAUCUGGGAUACCGGAGGCGAAGGCGGCUCACUGGGGCUUUUCUGACGCUGAGGAACGAAGGCCAGGGGAGCAAACGGG
rnacentral:rRNA from 1 species